UUGGUACACCCAAAUAAUUAUUGUUUUGGGUCUAAAAUGAGUUAGCACUGGAAUGAGUUGAAUUAUGUUGUUUGAGAUGGUCGUAUAAAUAGUUACUUUGAAAACCAUAUUAUGAUUUAGAUAUAGUAUUAUUUGUUGAGGCAUGCUAUAAUCAAAUAUGUUACUUUUGAGUUAUGUGUAAUUGAGCUAAGAUGUUGAUCUUAUGAUAAACAUGUAUAGGCUAUAGUGUUCUGUUAGUUUUGCCUAUUAGAGUUGUACCGUAUGGGGGUCCAUCAGGGUCACCACCUAUGUAUGCAUGUGUGACUUGUUUGAGAUGUGAUUCGACGGGAUCACUUACAGUCUGACUCUCCUAUAGGAUGAUUCCUUCGGGUUCACCGAGAGCCUAGAUGUGUCCCUACGGAACCACUUGAUAGUAUGCGUUCGGGAGCGCAAUAGUAUGCGGUAAGGGUAGAGGCAAGGGCAUAAUAGCGAAUGAUAAGAAGUGAUCAUAGAUCGCCAUAGGGAACAAUUCAGUUUUCUUCCGCAUUUAUAUUUCAAUACUUAUAUUUUCAUAGGUUUAUUUCAGAACUCUGGUUCAAUUACUUUAAGUAUUUCUUCUAUUUUUGGGCCCAAACUGGUAUUUUGAUCAGUUAUUUUAACUACUUAUUAUUUAAA